rnacentral:rRNA from 1 species
CCCUUAGAUGUUCUGGGCCGCACGCGCGCUACACUGAUGCAUUCAACGAGUCUAAAACCUGCUCUGACAGGGGUGGGUAAUCUUUUGAAUGUGCAUCGUGAUUGGGAUAGAUGAUUGCAAUUUUUCAUCUUCAACGAGGAAUGCCUAGUAAACGCAAGUCAUCAGCUUGCAUUGAUUACGUCCCUGCCCUUUGUACACACCGCCCGUCGCUCCUACCGAUUGAAUGAUCCGAUGAAUAUCAUGGAUUGAGGAUGCAAGCAGGUUCGCCUGUCUUCAUCUUCGAGAAGUGAAGUAAAUCUUAUCAUUUAGAGGAAGGAGAAGUCGUAACA